AACGCUGCUUGAGCAUAACGAGUGCUUCGUGGCUUGAGUACAACAAAACAAUAACCUUCCGUAUCUUGAGGAUGAAACUGGUAUAAUCUGUUCCGAAUGUAUUAGCAUGAGCGAUUUCCGCUAUACGUGCUGUGACCACCACGAGUAUGAAAACCCGGGUUUUAGCGGUAUAGGCCCACAGACUUACAGCUGAACCAGGUGAAAAUUAUUUUGCUGGCCGAAAUGUUGACUAUGUUAUAUUGAAUAAUUUGCACUUUCGUUAUUACUAUUA